UGAAGAUACGUUUGAAAUAUUGGAUUCGAUCAAACAGCAGGAGUUUUAUUUGAAUGAAGAAUUGGAUGCAAGGAGGAAAGAAGAUUGGGAGACAUUUAAGGAGCUGAAGACACGUUGGAAAGAUGACAUCAAAUUUUGAAGAGAUAGUAGGAACUGCCGAUGCUGGACAAUCUGAGAUAACAAGACUAUCAGGGUGUUUCCCCUGCCACAGUGGAGUAAAAAGGCAGGAAGUAAAGCAGAUCCCUAGCUCAGCGUGAACAGUGAGAGCAAAUCCACCAG